rnacentral:snRNA from 1 species
GAUAAUGAGGGCCAUCUGGCUGCAACAUCUGUCAUCCUACUAAUCACCAAGGUUGAUUCCACUGAUCUGGCUAGCUAGGCUGGUGUUCCCUUCCUUCCUCAUUGUUUCAUGUACAUUCUUCUGUAAGCCACAUGAUUUGUCAAAGAGGAAGACCUCCCUGGAUAGAGGAGAAUGGUUCUUUGAUCAAGAGUAUAAGGAGUAUCUGUGCUCCCUCUGCUAGAACCUCCAGACAAGCUCUCAAAACUCAAUAACAAUUUUGAAGUGCUUAACAGAGCACCUGUCCCUUAAAAAUUGGCAAAUGCAGAAACCGGAUUCUAAAUCUAGGCUGUCUGACACU